rnacentral:rRNA from 1 species
GACGAACGCUGGCGGCGUGCUUAACACAUGCAAGUCGAACGGAAAGGCCCUGCUGUUGUGGGGUGCUCGAGUGGCGAACGGGUGAGUAACACGUGAGUAACCUGCCCGUGACUUUGGGAUAACUUCAGGAAACUGGGGCUAAUACCUGAUAGGAGCUCCUGCUUCAUGGUGGGGGUUGGAAAGUUUCGGCGGUUGGGGAUGGACUCGCGGCUUAUCAGCUUGUUGGUGGGGUAGUGGCUUACCAAGGCUUUGACGGGUAGCCGGCCUGAGAGGGUGACCGGCCACAUUGGGCCUGAGGUACGGGCCAGACUCCUACGGGAGGCAGCAGUGGGGAAUAGUGCACAAUGGGCGGAAGCCUGAUGCAGCACCGCCGCGUGCGGGAUGACGGCCUUCGGGUUGUAAACCGCUUUCGCCUGUGACGAAGCGUGAGUGACGGUAAUGGGUAAAGAAGCACCGGCUAACUACGUG